AUCUGGCAAUGCUUUUUCGUCUUUGUUCUGUUUUUCAUCGACGCCAAUCUGUCUUUGCUUCGCCGCCAUUCUUUUUCAAUUGUGUCAGCAGUUAUUCAAAGAAAUUCAUGAGCUGAUGCAGCGAAAUUUUUGUAAGUGAAAACUGAAAUUAACUUACUCUUUCAUCUUGGAUCUCAUCCCGAUCACUUAUCAGGUUAGCCAUUCUUGCUAAUUGUUUUCUCUUUUGUGGACUUACCUUCAUCAUCUUGGUUUGGUCUCAUCCCAUCACAGUUCAUAGGUCACAGUUCAUCGGUCACAGUCAUCAGUCAAUCCGAUCACUUAUCAGGUUAGCCAUUCUUGCUAAUUGUUUUCUCUUUUGUGGACUUACCUUCAUCAUCUUGGUUUGGUCUCAUCCCAUCACAGUUCAUAGGUCACAGUCAUCAGUUCAUCUCUUCACAGCAGCGACUCCUGUUCUUCUUAUAAUUGGAAAUGGAUUCAACGGACAGUGAUAAGCUCCCGACAUAGCAGGCGUUUGUUAACAAAUUUGGAUUUUCUGCUUGAAUAAAAAGUUUGCUCGAAACUUCAGUUGGGAAGGAAACAGAGGAAAUAUGUGUCUUAAAGACACAAUGCUUGGCAAAGUCAUGCUAGGUGUAAUCCUUAAAUAUGAAAAACCUAGAAUAAAAAGUCAUGAGGCGAUAUUGGCUAUUCAAAAUUGGCUGAAACAUGCAAAGGAUGGUAUGAAAGCAGAGUUGGCGGCGGCAGCGGCAGCAAAAAAAAAAAAAGGAUGAGAAUAAAUACAAUGAAAAAGAGGAUGAUUCCGAAGAAGACAGAAGGCCACUACCAUCUUCGUCCUCUGAUGAUGAAGAUUAAAAUUUUUUCGUUAUUCGAUUAAAAUGUACCAUGAUUGUUGAAAAUAAAAUUCAUGGAGUAACAAAAA